GCGCUCACUUCGGCAGCACAUAUACUACAACUGGAACGAUACAGAGAAAAUUAGGAUGGCCCCCGCAGAAGGAGGACAUGCAAUUUCAUGAAACAUUCCAUAUGUUU